ACGGAGGAUCCGAGCGUUAUCCGGAUUUAUUGGGUUUAAAGGGUGCGUAGGCGGAAUAAUAAGUCAGUUGUGAAAGUUUGCGGCUCAACCGUAAAAUUGCAGUUGAUACUGUUAUUCUUGAGUGUACAUAAGGUAGGCGGAAUUCGUGGUGUAGCGGUGAAAUGCUUAGAUAUCACGAAGAACUCCAAUUGCGAAGGCAGCUUACCGGGGUACAACUGACGCUGAGGCACGAAAGUGUGGGUAUCAAACAG
rnacentral:rRNA from 1 species